rnacentral:rRNA from 1 species
AUUGAACGCUGGCGGCAGGCUUAACACAUGCAAGUCGAGCGGAGUGAUGGUGCUUGCACUAUCACUUAGCGGCGGACGGGUGAGUAAUGCUUAGGAAUCUGCCUAUUAGUGGGGGACAACAUCUCGAAAGGGAUGCUAAUACCGCAUACGUCCUACGGGAGAAGGCAGGGGAUCACUUGUGACCUUGCGCUAAUAGAUGAGCCUAAGUCGGAUUAGCUAGUUGGUGGGGUAAAGGCCUACCAAGGCGACGAUCUGUAGCGGGUCUGAGAGGAUGAUCCGCCACACUGGGGCUGAGACACGGCCCAGACUCCUACGUGAUGCAGCAGUGGGGAAUAUUGGACAAUGGGGGGAACCCUGAUCCAGCCAUGCCGCGUGUGUGAAGAAGGCCUUAUGGUUGUAAAGCACUUUAAGCGAGGAGGAGGCUUACCUAGUUAAUACCUGGGAUAAGUGGACGUUACUCGCAGAAUAAGCACCGGCUAACUCUGUGCCAGCCGCCGCCGUAA